GCGGGAAUGUGGCCCUUGCUCCUCUCCUUUAUGGAGUGGAGGCUGUCGAGACUGAUGUCAGCCUUCAUUAGCAUAAAAUUCCGCCUGUUCCUAAUUAAACCAGGAAAGAAGCGACAAGCCAGUCUGUUCUCACAUGGCAAGGAAUGAAUCAACAUCUCUCCCUGUAUCCGAGCAGGGAAUGGCCCUAUCCAUGCAUCAGCGUGAAUCCUCGGAUGGCAGAAAGAAUCACUGUCUCACGCUGAAAACCUUCCAGGCUCCAGGCCCGUGUCUUGGAGGUCGACCAGCCAGGAGCAACAACCAGGGUGUUCAGAAGAAUACCAGAGUAGAGACAUCAACGCCUGGGAAAGACCUAAGACGACCGCCGUCACACCCGCUGUGAUGCACGCCACAGGACGGGAAGAAGGCAGCAGCAGCAGAAGACCAGAGAGAACAGGAGGAGAGUGGGUGGAAGGAUGGAGGGAUGAUGAACGGAUGGAAACAGUCGGCGGAGGAAGAGGAGGAGGAGGAGGAGGAGGAGGAGGAGGAGGAGGUGGUUGAAAGCGGGCUGAACCCGGAGCAGCCCAACACAGCUGUGGAUCGCCAUGGGCUUCACUGGCUGCCGCCUUCUGUGGCCCCGGCGCAUCCAUACCGGGGUCCCGGGGAGGCGGCGCGGGGGCCAGCCAACGCGGCGUCAGCGCGGGCUGGCUGGGGCCAAGCGGAGCCGGCAGAGAGGCAGGUGAUGUGGGUGAGCCGGGCUCCCAUGACCGGCGGCUAGCUGCCUCCGCGGCGCUGGAGCUAGCUGAGAGCUGAGCAGCAGAAAUCAAUACGUAGGGAGGGAGGCGGGCAGGGGUCGCCCAGUGCUGCCUUCAGGCCCCCCGGAGCCCAGGGACCCACCAGCACAGCCUCACCUCCACCACAGCUCUCUCUCUCUCUCUCUCUCUCUGAUAAACUCAAUGUGACUCUAGCUCUCUCUCUCGUUCUAAUUCACUUCAUAUUUAUCACUCUCUGCGAGCGUCCCGGCAACCCCUGACCCCGGCAACCACCUCACACGCUGUGCGCCUCUUUGUGUGUGCGUGCGUGUGUGUGUUUGUGUGUGUGUGUUUGUGUGUGUGCCUGUGUGUGCUUGCAUUUGCUGUACACACACGUUUGUGCUUGCUUGUUUGAGAGAAACAAAGUGAGGGAGAAAUGAGAGAGAGCGAGAGGGAGAGGGAGAGAGAGAGAGAGAGAGAGAGAGAGAGAGAGAGAGAGAGAGAGAGAGAGAGAGAGAGAGAGAGAGAGAGAGAAGAGAGAGAGAGAGAGAGAGAGAGAGAGAGAGAGAGAGAGAGAGAGAGAGAGAGAGAGAGAGAGAGAGAAUCAGAGAGAGAGAGAGAGAGAGAGAGAGAGAGAGAGAGGGAGAGAGAGAGAGAGAGGGAGAGGGAGAGAAUCAGAGAGCGAGAAGGAGGGAGAAAGAGAGAGAGAGAGAGAGAGGGAGAGGAGAGAGGGAGAGGGAGAGGGAGAGAAUCAGAGAGGAGAAGGGAGAGAGAGAGAGAGGAGAGAGAGAGAGAGAGAGAGAGAGAGAGAGAGGGAGAGGGAGAGAGAGAGAAUCAGAGAGGGAGAGGGGAGGGAGAGAGAGAG
ensembl:lncRNA